CGGCGGCGACGGCAGGGGCCGAGGGGGCGGUCGCUACGAGGCGGGUGCGGAGCGGGCGGAAGAAGCGUCUGUGCGGGCGGUGAGGUCGCAGAGGAACAUCGUGGGGAUCAACGACUAUCAUCUGUUCUACAAGAUGAGUAACAGCCACCCUCUUCGCCCCUUUACUGCAGUGGGAGAAAUUGAUCAUGUGCACAUUUUGUCUGAACAUAUUGGUGCCUUGUUGAUUGGGGAAGAAUAUGGCGACGUCACAUUUGUUGUGGAAAAGAAACGUUUUCCUGCCCACAGGGUAAUUUUAGCAGCAAGGUGCCAAUAUUUUCGAGCAUUACUCUAUGGUGGAAUGCGAGAAUCUCAGCCUGAAGCCGAAAUCCCUCUCCAAGACACCACUGCAGAAGCAUUCACAAUGCUACUUAAAUACAUCUACACUGGGCGGGCGACACUGACAGAUGAGAAGGAGGAGGUACUGCUGGACUUUUUGAGCCUGGCUCAUAAAUAUGGAUUUCCAGAGCUGGAGGAUUCUACCUCUGAGUACCUCUGCACCAUACUUAACAUUCAGAAUGUCUGUAUGACUUUUGAUGUUGCCAGUCUCUACUCCCUUCCCAAGUUAACUUCCAUGUGCUGCAUGUUUAUGGACAGAAAUGCUCAGGAGGUGCUCUCAAGCGAAGGCUUCCUCUCCCUUUCCAAGACAGCACUUUUAAACAUCGUAUUAAGAGAUUCAUUUGCAGCUCCUGAAAAAGAUAUCUUCUUAGCCUUGUUAAACUGGUGUAAGCAUAAUUCAAAGGAGAAUCAUGCUGAAAUCAUGCAGGCUGUCCGUUUGCCUCUGAUGAGCCUCACUGAACUUCUGAAUGUCGUGAGGCCUUCGGGACUAUUGUCUCCUGAUGCCAUUCUGGAUGCUAUUAAAGUUCGAUCGGAGAGCCGGGACAUGGACCUUAAUUAUAGAGGCAUGCUCAUACCAGAAGAAAACAUUGCAACUAUGAAAUAUGGAGCCCAGGUGGUAAAAGGGGAGCUGAAGUCUGCCUUAUUAGAUGGUGACACUCAAAAUUAUGAUUUGGAUCAUGGAUUUUCUAGGCACCCAAUUGAUGAUGACUGCCGUUCUGGCAUCGAGAUUAAGCUAGGUCAGCCGUCCAUUAUCAAUCAUAUACGGAUACUCCUGUGGGACCGAGAUAGCCGGUCUUAUUCAUACUUCAUUGAAGUCUCAAUGGAUGAACUUGAUUGGAUCAGAGUGAUUGAUCAUUCGCAAUAUCUCUGUCGUUCUUGGCAAAAGUUGUAUUUUCCAGCCCGUGUCUGCAGGUAUAUUCGAAUAGUUGGGACUCACAAUACAGUGAAUAAGAUUUUUCACAUUGUGGCUUUUGAAUGUAUGUUUACAAACAAAACCUUCACUCUGGAGAAGGGGCUAUUAGUUCCCAUGGAGAAUGUUGCAACAAUUGCUGAUUGUGCCAGUGUGAUUGAAGGAGUCAGUCGGAGCCGAAAUGCCUUGCUGAAUGGGGACACUAAGAACUAUGAUUGGGAUUCUGGCUAUACAUGUCAUCAGCUAGGAAGUGGUGCAAUUGUGGUUCAACUGGCCCAGCCAUACAUGAUCGGGUCAAUACGGUUAUUGCUGUGGGACUGUGACGAUCGGAGCUAUAGCUACUACGUCGAGGUUUCCACCAACCAGCAGCAGUGGACCAUGGUAGCCGACAGAACUAAAGUCACCUGCAAGUCCUGGCAGUCAGUCACUUUUGAAAGACGGCCGGCCUCCUUCAUUCGAAUUGUUGGAACACACAACACAGCAAAUGAGGUGGGCGUAGAGUAGGCGCUGGUGCUGGUGGGCUGGAGUCCGGCAGGUGACCGUGCUGUGGGCUCCAUGUGCUCAUCAAGCUCGUGCUGUUACAGUCCGACGUACUUAGUGUGCACCCCUGAAGACCUGACCGCUGGUUAAAGACUGCAGUCAUAAGGAACAGUAAGGUUGAAACUCAAGGAACAAAAAUAAAACAUCUCUACAAUCUAAAGAUGGACUCGUAACUUGUUCCUGAGAUGAGUGUAAGAAGAUGUAAUUGUCAUUGUCAUCAGGCUCAGUUAAUGUUUGCUGAGUGCUGAGUGUGUGUGUCAUGCUGCCACACCACACAUUGCGAAAGGAGAGAGGAAGUCUUCAGAGUGUAUAAUUCAGAAGCCACGUCUCUGUGUCUGAUUUCUGGGCAGAUAUCAUUGAGAGGUAGGUAUCUAUUUUAUAAAGAUGUAAAUGUAAGUUGAAAGCUUGGCUCAAAUCCUAUUUGUAUUGCUUGGCAUGAAAGCAAUCUGUGAAAAUUACUCAGGAGAAACCAGAAAGACAAGGUAGAGUCAUUGAUCAACAUUUAUUAAAUUUUCCUGAUUUCUGCUACAGUUCACGGUGGACUCUUAGCCCAACUUGGGAAAAUUAGCAGAGGCUUCUCUGCUUUUAAAAACCUUGAAGACACAUUGAACAAAGAGUGCUCAGGGAAUCCCUCUAAUGAAAGGCGGCAAACAGUGGCUAGCCGAGGAAUUCGCCUGUUUGCCAAGAAGGGGCCAGCACAUUUGAGUACAUCCUUUCCAGGGUUCACCCCAGACUGUCUCAAACAUGUCAAGAAUUAUGGCUCCCAGAGAGGAAAGGCAAAGUGAUAAUAAACAGCAGCUACAAAAAAGAACACAUGGAUGUGACUCAGGCUGCGUCGGAUUCAUACACACGACUACAUUCCAAUUUAACUGGCUCCUCUCCGAAGACAGAUCCAGAGGCCACUGAAGCUGGUUCAGCGAAGGCGCCCCUUCGUGAGCAGCAGCAAUCAAACGGAUAAUGGGGUGCGUGAUCGCCGAGAAGGGAAGGGAAAAUGAUGCGGCGACUGGGGUAAUGGUUUUGCAUGAAUCAGUAGUGUGACUCUGCCCUGUGUGCCUCAUGCACUUUUGGUCACAUCCUUUCCAAGGGGUAUCGCAGUCUUGGGACGGUUCGGAGGAAAGAUACUGAAUCACACAAGCUUCUGAGCGAAGAGAAACUCAGGGCCUGGCCGUUCCACCGAGAGGGAGGCCUGAGGUGUUCGGUGGGGAGAGGAGCUUAGGGGUGCGAGGGACAAGCCGCAGUUUCCACAUGGCACCCGGUACCGCCCCUCGUGGCAGCAGCGACCUCCAGUGUCUGUGUGAAAAGAGCAGAGGCAUCCCGGCCUCUCUUCCCUUUGCACCUCUGCAGGGGCGGCAGGCAUCUCGGGCCGGCCCCGACCACUUGGCCACCAGAGAAGGUGCCAGUUUCUCCAGGGCAGUCUCACUUUCCACCCCUGCUCCCAUGAACAGAGUCAGGACCGCCCACAGGCCCCCUCUCUGGAUGCCCGUUUGCAACGGGUGCACAUCCGAAGGGGCCUAGGGUCCUAAGGGAAGAACCCCAGCCUGGCACAAGAUGAUGUUGGUGAGGUACAGACACCAUGAUGUUCAUCCUCAUCUGCAGUGGUCCAGGACCUGGCUGGGUGCUGGCUUCGCACUGUUGUCAUGUUAGGUUCAAGGCCAGUGGGUUGGAUUAUCGACUGAGACAGCUGAGCUGGCAAGUUGUUGUACAGAAGGCGAGAGCGAGGCCCCAAGCCUUUAACUGGAAGUCCUCCCUGUCCCUUCUGCCUGGAAGGCCACUCCUGCCCUGUCGUCAAGGCCUAGUUUAUGCACACCUUCCUCCUUGAUCUUCCCUUCCAGGUGAAAUUAAUUUCUCACACUGCCGUAUACCUUCUCGCUUGCUAUUAUGUUGUCUGUGUGAGGAGACAUCCUGAUAUGGAGAGAGCACAGAUUCUGGAGCUGCUCCACCCUGAGGUCGAAUCCCACUCACCACUCUUGGGCUGAGUUCCAUCUGGUAGAGGUCCUGACAGCAGGGACUGUGUGAUCUAGCCUCAGGCCAGUGUUUAUGCUCAGUGAGGUCGCUGAAGUUUGAAAAACAUAAGCAGUGAAAGGAAGGCUCUGAGGAUGAGUCCAGGUCCCCGGUGCUUGGCUGGGCCUGGAGCCCCCUCGGACCCCCUGCUGUGCCCGC